UGGGGAAUAUUGCACAAUGGAGGGAACUCUGAUGCAGCGACGCCGCGUGAACGAAGAAGGCUUUCGAGUCGUAACGUUCUUUUAUAUGGGAAGAUAAUGACGGUACCAUAAGAAAAAGCCCCGGCUAACUACGUGCCAGCAGCCGCGGUAAUACGUAGGGGGCUAGCGUUGUCCGGAAUCACUGGGCGUAAAGGGUUCGCAGGCGGAAAUGCAAGUCAGGUGUAAAAGGCAGUAGCUUAACUACUGUAAGCAUUUGAAACUGCAUAUCUUGAGAAGAGUAGAGGUAAGUGGAAUUUUUAGUGUAGCGGUGAAAUGCGUAGAUAUUAAAAAGAAUACCGGUGGCGAAGGCGACUUACUGGGCUCAUUCUGACGCUGAGGAACGAAAGCGUGGGUAGCAAACAGG
rnacentral:rRNA from 3 species